rnacentral:rRNA from 1 species
CCUACGGGCGGCAGCAGUGAGGAAUAUUGGUCAAUGGGCGCGAGCCUGAACCAGCCAAGUCGCGUGAGGGAUGACGGUCCUACGGAUUGUAAACCUCUUUUGCCGGGGAGCAAGCGUGCGUUCGUGAACGCGCGUCGAGAGUACCCGGAGAACAAGCAUCGGCUAACUCCGUGCCAGCACCCGCGGUAAUACGGAGGAUGCGAGCGUUAUCGGGAUUUAUUGGGUUUAAAGGGUGCGUAGGCGGGAUGCCAAGUCAGCGGUAAAAAUGCGGUGGUAAAUGUCGUAGUGCAGUUGAAACUGGCGUUCUUGAGUGGGCGAGAGGUAUGCGGAAUGCGUGGUGUAGCGGUGAAAUGCAUAGAUAUCACGAAGAAUUCCGAUUGCGAAGGCAGCAUACCGGCGCCCUACUGACGCUGAGGCACGAAAGCGUGGGUAGCGAACAGGAUUAGAUACCCUGGUAGUC